UACGGAGGGUGCAAGCGUUAUCCGGAAUGAUUGGGCGUAAAGCGUCCGCAGGUGGCUAUGUAAGUCUGCUGUUAAAGAGUGAGGCUCAACCUCAUAAGAGCAGUGGAAACUACAUAGCUAGAGUGCGUUCGGGGCAGAGGGAAUUCCCGGUGUAGCGGUGAAAUGCGUAGAUAUCAGGAAGAACACCGGUGGCGAAAGCGCUCUGCUAGGCCGCAACUGACACUGAGGGACGAAAGCUAGGGGAGCGAAUGGG
rnacentral:rRNA from 1 species